rnacentral:rRNA from 1 species
GAUCUGACGAGCUUGCUCUGAUUUGAUUUUAUCUGACAAAGAGUGGCGAACGGGUGAGUAACACGUGGGUAACCUACCUCUUAGCAGGGGAUAACAUUUGGAAACAAGUGCUAAUACCGUAUAAUACCAACAACCGCAUGGUUGUUGGUUGAAAGAUGGUUCUGCUAUCACUAAGAGAUGGACCCGCGGUGCAUUAGCUAGUUGGUAAGGUAACGGCUUACCAAGGCAAUGAUGCAUAGCCGAGUUGAGAGACUGAUCGGCCACAAUGGGACUGAGACACGGCCCAUACUCCUACGGGAGGCAGCAGUAGGGAAUCUUCCACAAUGGGCGCAAGCCUGAUGGAGCAACGCCGCGUGUGUGAUGAAGGGUUUCGGCUCGUAAAACACUGUUAUAAGAGAAGAACGGCACUGAGAGUAACUGUUCAGUGUGUGACGGUAUCUUACCAGAAAGGAACGGCUAAAUACGUGCCAGCAGCCGCGGUAAUACGUAUGUUCCAAGCGUUAUCCGGAUUUAUUGGGCGUAAAGCGAGCGCAGACGGUUAUUUAAGUCUGAAGUGAAAGCCCUCAGCUCAACUGAGGAAUGGCUUUGGAAACUGGAUGACUUGAGUGCAGUAGAGGAAAGUGGAACUCCAUGUGUAGCGGUGAAAUGCGUAGAUAUAUG